rnacentral:tRNA from 1 species
AGGGUUUUAAGUUAAAUUAAACUAUAAGUUUUCAAGACUUAAUAUAAAUAAAUUGUUUAAAUUCUG